rnacentral:rRNA from 1 species
UACGUAGGGUGCAAGCGUUGUCCGGAAUUAUUGGGCGUAAAGAGCUCGUAGGCGGUUUGUCGCGUCUGCUGUGAAAACUCGGGGCUUAACCCCGGGCCUGCAGUGGGUACGGGCAGACUAGAGUGCGGUAGGGGAGACUGGAAUUCCUGGUGUAGUGGUGAAAUGCGUAGAGAUCGGGAGGAACACCCGUGGCGAAGGCGGCUCACUGGGCCGGUCCUGACGCUGAGACGCGAAGGCGUGGGGAGCGAACGGG